rnacentral:rRNA from 1 species
GACGAACGCUGGCGGCGUGCUUAACACAUGCAAGUCGAACGGAGCGGCGAACGGGUGAGUAACACGUGGGUGAUCUGCCUUUCACUUCGGGAUAAGCUUGGGAAACUGGGUCUAAUACCGGAUAGUGCAAGAUGAGCUCGCGGCCUACCGGCUUGUUGGUGGGGUAAUGGCCUACCAAGGGGUCGAAGGGUAGCCGGCCUGAGAGGGUGUACGGGCACAUGAGUCCUAAGAUAGGGCGCAGACGCCUAUGGGAGGCAGCAGUGGGGAGUAUUGCGCAAUGGGCGGAAGCGUGAUACAGCGAUGCCGCGUGGGGAAAAAAGGCUUUUGGGUUGUAAACACCUUUCGACAGGAACGCGGUACCUGUAUAGGAAGCACCGGCUAACUACGUGCCAGCAGCCGCGGUAAUAC